GAUGAACGCUGGCGGCGUGCCUAAUACAUGCAAGUCGAGCGAACGGACGAGAAGCUUGCUUCUCUGAUGUUAGCGGCGGACGGGUGAGUAACACGUGGAUAACCUACCUAUAAGACUGGGAUAACUUCGGGAAACCGGAGCUAAUACCGGAUAAUAUUUUGAACCGCAUGGUUCAAAAGUGAAAGACGGUCUUGCUGUCACUUAUAGAUGGAUCCGCGCUGCAUUAGAUAGUUGGUAAGGUAACGGCUUACCAAGGCAACGAUGCAUAGCCGACCUGAGAGGGUGAUCGGCCACACUGGAACUGAGACACGGUCCAGACUCCUACGGGAGGCAGCAGUAGGGAAUCUUCCGCAAUGGGCGAAAGCCUUACGGAGCAACGCCGCGUGAGUGAUGAAGGUCUUCGGAUCGUAAAACUCUGUUAUUAGGGAAGAACAUAUGUGUAAGUAACUGUGCACAUCUUGACGGUACCUAAUCAGAAAGCCACGGCUAACUACGUG
rnacentral:rRNA from 1 species